AAUCAACGCUGGCGGCGUGCCUAACACAUGCAAGUCGAGCGGGAAAGGGGGCUUCGGCCCCUGAGUAUAGCGGCGGACGGGUGAGUAACACGUGGGUAAUUUGCCCUUGGGUGUGGAAUAACUCAGGGAAACUUGAGCUAAUACCGCAUGACAUCCCCUUCACACACGAGUCGGGGAUCAAAGCCGGGGACCCUUCGGGGCCUGGCGCCUGAGGAGAAGCCCGCGCCCGAUUAGCUAGUUGGGAGGUAAUGGCUCACCAAGGCUUCGAUCGGUAGCCGGCCUGAGAGGGCGGACGGCCACACUGGGACUGAGACACGGCCCAGACUCCUACGGGAGGCAGCAGUGGGGAAUUGUUCGCAAUGGGCGCAAGCCUGACGACGCAACGCCGCGUGGAGGAUGAAGGUCUUCGGAUUGUAAACUCCUGUUGCCCGGGACGAAUGGCUCCGACCUAACACGUCGGAGUGUGACGGUACCGGGUGAGGAAGCCCGGCUAACUCUGUGCCAGCAGCCGCA
rnacentral:rRNA from 1 species